rnacentral:misc_RNA from 1 species
CAGAGUUCAUGCCCUAACGGGUAGAUCUCCCACCCUAUGUAUUUAUACCUUUGUUGCUUUGGUAGGCCGUUGGGCUUCGGCCUGGCUACCGGCUCCGGCUGGUAAGUGCCUACCAGAGGACCCCAAACUCUGAAUAUUAGUGUCGUCUGAGUACUAUAUAAUAGUUA